GAAUGAUUUGUGUGUGUGUGCGCACAUGUACAUGCCUAUACAUGUAUACCAAUGUGUGCAUGCUACAGCACACACAUGGAUGU
rnacentral:miRNA from 1 species